rnacentral:rRNA from 1 species
AUUGAACGCUGGCGGCAUGCCUUACACAUGCAAGUCGAACGGCAGCGGACCUUCGGGUGCCGGCGAGUGGCGAACGGGUGAGUAAUAUAUCGGAACGUACCUUUCAGUGGGGGAUAACGUAGCGAAAGUUACGCUAAUACCGCAUAUUCUGUGAGCAGGAAAGCAGGGGAUCGCAAGACCUUGCGCUGAUUGAGCGGCCGAUAUCAGAUUAGCUAGUUGGUGAGGUAAAGGCUCACCAAGGCGACGAUCUGUAGCGGGUCUGAGAGGAUGAUCCGCCACACUGGAACUGAGACACGGUCCAGACUCCUACGGGAGGCAGCAGUGGGGGAAUUUUGGACAAUGGGCGCAAGCCUGAUCCAGCCAUGCCGCGUGAGUGAAGAAGGCCUCCGGGUUGUAAAGCUCUUUCAGCCGGGAAGAAACGCAUGGGUUAAUACCCUGUGUGGAUGACGGUACCGGAAUAAGAAGCACCGGCUAACUACGUGCCAGCA